CUUCGGAAUCCUUGUCGGGAAGUCCCUACCCGUUGAAAUUUAAAUGCUUACAGUACGGUUUAUGGUUAGGCAGCGUUUCCCAAACUCCUGGGGCACGUUUUGGUUUUUGCCCUAGCACUACGUCCGUGCUAUCCUUGGGACGGCUCUAACGUUACCAAAUUGAAAUAGACAUUUUAAACGGUUAGAUGUCUCUUUGAAGAUGAUUUUGUCACCAGAUCUUUCUGUAGCAGCUUCCCUGCCCUUUAUGAUGGCAUUAGUGAGCAGCUGCUAAUUUGGUAUGCUUUUCUGCAGUGGUAAGAUAUAACAGAACAAGGCAUGGGUACAUGAUAAAAUAAUCCUUACAUUGUGUGUGUGACAGGAAUGAACUAAAGAAAAUAAACCGUCACAAGAGACACAAUGUUACAAUGACAAGUGAAAUGAAGCCGGAAAUGCACCUCCACCCCCAAUCCGAGACUGUAUAUGCCCUGUUUCCAACAGACGAUGUGGUUCAGGGAUUGGACUACAGCCGCACUAAGACACUCAAGUCAUCAUCUGAUACUAGCAUACAAGAGAAAGAGUUGGCGCAGAAGAUAAUGCUUACCACAGGCAGUGCAGUGCCCUUUCUCAAAACACUCAUUCUUGUAGUGGAAAGAGGUUAUAAACUACAGUUGAUAGGGGCAGAUAAAAUCAUCCAUGUGGAUAGAAUGAGCUGGAGAAGACUUCUCAGAACAGAGUGCCAUAGAGAAGAUGGCCUAUGCUCCCAAAUGAGCGAUGGGUCAAAGUAACUUGUGGAUUUGAGAAGCGCUAGGAUUUGACAUAACAAGCCCAGCACUCACUGUCUCACACUUCAUCUGAAGAGCCUACUUAUCUCUGGUUAUGUAAUUAUAUAACAUUAUUAUAUAAUCGUUGUGUGAUAUUCUGUCAUAUGUAAGAAUUAGAAUAUGUGUGUACUGUAUUGUGUGUAUAGAAAUGAAUAAAAUAAACUCUUAGCUACUUUU